CGUAGGGGGCAAGCGUUGUCCGGAAUCAUUGGGCGUAAAGCGCGUGUAGGCGGCCAGAUAAGUCCGCUGUGAAAUCUCGCGGCUCAACUUCGAGCUGUCGGUGGAAACUGUCUGGCUAGAGUCCGGAAGAGGAGAAUGGAAUUCCUGGUGUAGCGGUGAAAUGCGCAGAUAUCAGGAAGAACACCCGUGGCGAAGGCGGUUCUCUGGGACGGUACUGACGCUGAGACGCGAAAGCGUGGGGAGCGAACAGGAUUAGAUACCCUGGUAGUCCACGCCGUAAACGAUGGGUGCUAGGUGUGGGGGGUGUCGACUCCCUCCGUGCCGAAGCUAACGCAUUAAGCACCCCGCCUGGGGAGUACGGCCGCAAGGCUA
rnacentral:rRNA from 1 species